CCCGAAAGUCGAAAGGGGAUAUUCAGCGUCCGGCCGGGCCGUGCUUCUGCGUGGUCGUAUUGCGAAGCUACGCGGCUUGGUCGGCGUGCACUUAUCCCCUAGUAGAACGUCGCGAUCCGCUGGUGGACGAUCACGAAAUGGUUCCUCGUCGCAGUCCGCGUCUUCGUCGUUCUUCGGAACGCUCGAAUCGUGCGGAGACAGAGGGUUUAUACCAGAUCGUCGGGCCGGCGGUAGUCGAAAAAGGUAUUGGGCCGCAGCUUGUCGAAUUGCGUUUCCUCGGGCGGAAAUUGUCACGCGCUAGUCGAAUUCGGGUACGCUUCGCGCGUCCCUAUCGGCGCGUGACUUUUUUUUUGCUUUGAGCGAAACUGGCUCUACACCCAUGCAUACCUAUCCGCGGCGCUAUUGCUUUGGGUACUUUCAGGACCCGUCUUGAAACACGGACCAAGGAGUCUAACACGUACGCGAGUCAUUGGGCACGAACGAAACCCACAGGCGUAUUGAAAGAAAAGGCGCGCGCACUUCGGUGCCGCGUCGAGGGAUGAUGGGCACGCGUUAAAGAAGCGGCCCCGCAAUCCCGGGGCGUCUCGCUGUCUCGCGUUCGCGCUUGACGGAGGCGCACCUUGAGCGUACGUGUUGGGACCCGAAAGAUGGUGAACUAUGCCUGGCCAGGACGAAGUCAGGGGAAACCCUGAUGGAGGUCCGUAGCGAUUCUGACGUGCAAAUCGAUCGUCGGAGC
rnacentral:rRNA from 1 species